rnacentral:lncRNA from 1 species
CCAAAUUUUUCCUCAAGUAAACAUGAGGAACAUCAGGACAUCCAAAGUGUCACAUUAACCGUAGCCAUCAUUUUAACCAUUCCAGUAUACGCCGGAUAGUCGCGAUGAUCUAUUGCUACUUACCUAAGGUACACUAGAUCCGGGUGUAGGAUCUUUCACUCAAAAAUUCCCUUAAAAGAAGGAACAAUUUGAAAACAUAAAUGAUUUUUUAAGGUGACCUCUCUUUGUAGUCCCCAGC